GAGCGGGGAGGAGCGGCGCGGAGCGGAGCGGCCUGGGCCGCGGCCCUCGGCACCCGCCGCGCUCGGCCCUCCUCCCGUCCUCCUCCUCCUCCCGGCCUCGGCCCCCUCUCCGCCCGCCCUCUCUCCGUGCAGACGCCGCGCGGGACGCGGGGAGCGGCGCCCGGGGGCUCUGGUGCCUUUCCGGGAGCCUUAACCUCCCCGGAGAGGGCGGGCUGGGGCUGGGGCUGGGGCUGGGGCUGGGGCGGCUCGGUGGCAGGACAAGCCGGGCGGCGGGGCUGAGUCAAAACUCUGCAGGAUCGGAUUCUCCCUUCUUCAGUGACAUGGGCUUCAAUGAAGCUACACCAGGUCCUCACUCUCUGCUUAGCACACACAGUAUUCUCCUUACUUCCUGACAUCCAGGUCACCUCAGAGAGGAUUCAGCGUGAAUGUACAGAAAUGAACCUGGUCUCAAAGCCUGAAAACACCCUGCUCGCUAAUGAACUUUUUAGCAGGUAUAGUGCAAUGGAUGUGUGCAGAUCCCCUACCAGACUUUCCUUUUUCAGAACGAAAAUGAAAUACCUCUCUCUGGAGGCUCCUGGGAAUUCUGCACUGCUACAGCCUUUUCUCAUUGAACCAACUUAGAGCUCAUACAUACUGUUACAUCUCUUAAACUGCUGCAUUGCUACUGCUAAUCUGAUCAGGUGUCAUUUUUGCUCCACUAUACUGCUUGAAGAUCUUAUUUCUUAAAAUAGCACUGUUUAAUUUUUAGACCAUUUUUGUAAAUUAUGAGUGCUAUAGCAAUUCAGAUAUCCUUUUCAGCCUUCCAGUCUCCUGUGGAACCAUCAAAAAUUGCAGCUGUAGUAGAUCUCAUUUGGUGCUUGAUUUCCACAGGGCUGCACCCUGCUAUUUGCACGCAGCAAAGUGAUAGUUUUCUUCCAUAGCAGCUGGAAUAAAUUUCUCAGAACUUCUAAUUCAUUUAAUUGAGGGCCAGGGGUUGGGUAAAAUAUAGCUGUUGCAACCCCUGUAGUUAGUAUGGUCAGAAAUACAAUUCUGACUGGUGGUGGAAAGAGACUGAGUCAGUUAAAACACUAGCAGUGUCAAGCAUUAAAGACUCUUGGUUUUAAAAUUA